CAUCGCUGUGCCGGAGUGUGGGGUUAUCUAGGUAAGGAUUACCUUCCUUUGUUACUAACAUUUUUAUUUGUUAUCUAAGGGAGUCUGUAACACAUCACCAAGUGACGGAGGAAAAGGCUAUCACAACCCAGAGGUUUCCUCCGAGAUAUGGUGGUACAAAUCUCUUCUUCUUCGGUUUGGCGGUCACUGAAGUGAUUUUCCUCUCCUCAAAGAACUUGUCUGAUACCUGUGAAGAUGACGGUGGAAGACUAGCUGAUGCCUGUGAAGAUGACGGUGGAAGACAAGCUGAUGCCGGCAUUUCAUUUUCUUGAUUCUGAUUCUGAUCUUGUACGGCAGGAUAGAUAGAAGCCGGUGAAACCAACAUCUCCGGAUAUGCAUGAUUGCACAGAGGGAAGAUACCAGACUUUCUGAAUGCUGAAGUUAGGUUUUCUGGAGAGAGGGCUUUCAGGUAUGGUUUAGCUGUGAGCUAGGCAACUUCAUACUUUGUGAUCUUCAUUCCUGGAUUCCGUUGAAGAAAGAGCUGGCAUUCUCUGUUGUACAUACAUUUAAACGGUCCAAACACAGCAACAUCCAGUGGUUGUGUGAUGUGGCUUGUGUGAGGUGGCAGCACAAAUAAAAUGAUGUUGUGCAUUUUUGCCCAUUCCACAAGCGUCAAAGAAACAUGUGACCUAUGGCCGUCAAAGAGAAUAAGAGUCUUGGGUGCUGACGGAUCUGCCGAAAUACCAGCAUACUUAAUGAAGUGUUUGGUCAGAUAGUCCUGAAAUAUAUUUGUGUUGGACCAGCCACUCAUUGACAUGGAACCAGAGGAACCUGACGGAGCACCUUCCAAGAACUCGUCGUUCCAUCUCUUUCCAGGAAAUACAUAAUAGGGGUGUGUGUAAUUUCCUACAGCAUUACCUCCUCCAAUGAUGGUUACUGUCGAGGACCUUGGUGACGUUACAGCCUGUGGUUGACAUGUAGCAUCACAUACGAUCUUGGGUGGUGCGUGUUCAGUUGUCACACCUGUUUCAUCCAAGUUAAAGACACGUUCAGGCUUGUCAUGUAAACCAUGAAGCGUCAUGAGGGUGGCCAGCUCUCUGAAGUAUGCAGAGAGGACUUCCUUAGAGGCAUAUUGAGCACGCAACAUUAAGAGUUUUGGGGUUUUUGCCAAUUUCAAGUCAGGCCAGCGUCCCAAGAAACCAUAAAACCAAUUGUCACUUAAAGGUUUGUCACUUGGUGCUUUUUUUCCUUGACUUGAAGCAAAGUGUGCAGCUAGGUAUUGGAGGUUAAGUUUUGUAUACCCAUAACCAAUGGAAGACAUGUAUUUAACAUGGUCUACUAACUGUUUUUCCUCUCCGUGUGAGAGUAGGGUAUCUCCACCCGGCUUCGCACCAACUGGAACAUUCCCCCUGGUCCUGUCCCGGAGAGUUGAUUCUGGAACGCCAUACUGGCGUGCAGCACGAUAAACAGACAUCCCACUCUGGGUGGCAGCAAAUGCAUGUUGCAAAUUACUGGGAUCAUAUUGUCUUCUUACCUUGGCAGAAAAAUUCAGCUUUCUUUUAGUUUUGCUAAAAUCCUGCAAAAA